AGAGCAAACAUCUUCAGAAAACAAAUCUAUUUGGUUUCAAAGUAAAUCGAAAUUUCUACAAAAGUUAAGCUGUCUUAAAAAGUUCAAAAGUAAGCUGUUGUUAAUUGAUUAAGGCAGUGAAUUUAAAUCGAUUCGUAGCCGGUUCAUAGCGUCAUUUAGUCAUCAUGAUAACAGAAAUUAAUGGUCAAUGUGACCCGAAUGAGUUUUACAAAAACUCAACUGAUGUUGAUAUGCAUUUUGAUUUACUCGAUGAUAUUGAGCCCAUUAUUUCCUACAUUACCCUGGCUGCGGUUAUUAUUUUCUCUCCAAUUCUAAUUAUAAGUCCAUUUGUCAUAGCCGAUUUGAGUUCACUGACGAGAAAAGUUAUUGCGAUGGUUGUUUUGGCAGAUUUCAUUAAUACCCUGGGUGGGGCGCUAGAAGACUUGAACGACAAAACUUGGCGCCAAUUUACAGACGAAGCAAACCAUAUUUGUCUAGCUGUUGUGUAUGUUGCCGACACUUCAAAUAUAUGGUCUAUAACUUGGGCAUUUGUGCUUCUGUGCUGUAUUCUUUUGAACUUGACAAGCACCAAUCCCAACAGAGACGAUCAUUUCAAGCACCUCAACAUAAUUGUUUGGCCUUUUGGACUGCUACUUCAAUAUGUCAUUUGGUGCAGAUUCGACUUAUUUCAGCUCAACUACAAUGAAAAUUACAUUUUUUCGGCCAGUUGUCAGCCAGAAUUACUUUUCCAAUUGUCAGACGAUGGAAAAGAUUGUCUGCUGAUUAAAGAAGGAAAAGUUUUGACAACAAUUUAUUACGGAACUAAUAUGGUGAUAAUUAUUUGUUCUCAAAUUGUUUUCGUGCUUAUUUUGCACAGAGCUUACGCUGACUAUAAAAAACUGAAACUAUAUCGUGAACGCGCGGUGGACGAAAACGAAGAAGAAGAUUUUGGUGCUCUCCAAGUUUCAAUCAACUUUUCAUACUCCGUUUUAAAAAGUUCCUUACCCUUUGCUGUGACUGCAUUUCUCUACAUUUUUGUCGAUUUUCCCGUAAUUUUGUCCAGGAUUUUCAAAAUUUAUUCGGGGCCAGUCCAAGGAAAACGUAAUUUGCAGUUUUUUCUCCAACUAUGGUUUUUGUGUUCCGGAAACUUAACUACACUUGUUAAUAUUUUAUUGUACACUUUUGUGAACAAAAAACUCCGCGUCGAAAUCGCAAAACGAGUAAAAACUAGAUAUCAAAGUCUUAGGUCCUUAAUGACGACAUCGUUUACACGUGAUUUACAAAUCGAAACCCUGAACACAGAAGAUCACUCCCCACUUACGAACGACAGUGUGAUUUCAAGUUACUACGACGAUGAGGAUUGAAUUAAAUUGAUAGAUUGAUAAAAAAUGUUCCAAUUUUAGAGGAUCUAAACGGUGUG